CGCGGGAUGGAGCAGUUGGCAGCUCGUUGGCUGCAUAACCCAAAGGUCGCAGGUUCGAGUCCUGCUCCGCAACCA
rnacentral:tRNA from 1 species